rnacentral:lncRNA from 1 species
CAUUCAUUUCUGGAAAAAAAAUGUAAUUAUUUAUUUGAGAACUUCUUGCCCUCUUGUUUUCUCUGCUCAGUUUUCCUGGUAUUUCUAUUAUUCAGAUAAUGAAUCUCCUAUGAGUAUAGCCUGUAAUAUAGCCUGUAAUCUUUCUUUUCCACUGUUCAUGUCUUUGUCUUUUUAUUGUACCUUUUAAAGAUUUCCAAUUAGUCUUCUAUCUGCAUUCUUGAGGGGUUUUUUUAAUUUCAUCAUAUUCUUUUUUCUUGAGUUUUCCUUUUUUAUUUUCUCCCAUUCUUGUUUCAUCUAUUAUCUUUUAUUCUCUCUGAUUAUUUCAGUUUCUUUAAAGUUUUCUUGUGCUCCCUUCAUUGCCUUAUUUCUUUUUUUCCCAUUUGUAUUUUGGGUUUCUCAUAUUAGAGGUAUUUCUCAAAUAUCUGGCAAUCCUUUGGUAUACGUUCAUAUUUACAAAGAAAUUUGAAUCUCUGUGUGGCUGAGAUGAGCUUUUGACUGAUGGAUUUUAUUAUUUGCUGUUGUAGCUGGGGCAUUUCAUACGAGGAAUCUUGACUAUCAGUAUGUAUAGGUCUUUUCUCUUUGGCUGGCCAGAUUUCGCCUGCCUGGCAGUUUAAAGGUUGGCUGCUAUUUUGUUCAAAGUUGAGUGUGAGAAAGAAAUCUUGAAGCCCCUUUCUUCAGUAUGUUACCCCAAACUUCAAUCCUCUCUUCUCCUUGUGCAUAUAACACCUCUCUGGUGGCCAGGCACGAUCGCUCACACCUGUAAUCCCAGUACUUUGGGAUGCUGAGGCGGGUGGAUCACGAGUCAGGAGUUCAAGACCAGCCUGACCGAGAUGGUGAAACCCCAUCUCUACUGAAAAUACAAAAAUUAGCC